GGUGAAGCAGUAUUUGUACGUAGGAUUUUGGGUCCUGAGAAGUGGGCAGUAUCCCUCCUUCGCUA
rnacentral:tRNA from 1 species